UUGUCAAAUUCGUCUUUACCGCCAUUUUGGUUUAUACUAUAAAAGAGUAAUUAGUUACUUGUUUAAUUGAUUAGAUUUGAUUGUUGCAGUCAAACUUUUGAAAUUAAUUGGCUAAAUCAGCACGUUACUCUCAUGAUUAUAUUUUCACUUUCAUAACUCCCCCACUUCACCCACCACAAAUGGGGACAAAUCCACAUAUAUUAUACU